rnacentral:rRNA from 1 species
UUGGUUAAGUUAGAAAGGGCGCACGGUGGAUGCCUUGGCACUAGGAGCCGAAGAAGGACGGGACUAACACCGAUAUGCUUUGGGGAGCUGUACGUAAGCGUUGAUCCAGAGAUUUCCGAAUGGGGGAACCCACUAUCUUUAGUCGGAUAGUAUCCUUACGUGAAUACAUAGCGUGAGGAAGGCAGACCCAGGGAACUGAAACAUCUAAGUACCUGGAGGAAGAGAAAGAAAAAUCGAUUUCCUGAGUAGCGGCGAGCGAAACGGAAAGAGCCCAAACCAAGAAGCUUGCUUCUUGGGGUUGUAGGACACUCUAUACGGAGUUACAAAAGAAAGUUAUAAAUGAAGCGGUCUGGAAAGGCCCGCCAAAGACGGUAACAGCCCGGUAGUUGAAAUGGCUUUCCCUCCAGAGUGGAUCCUGAGUACGGCGGAACACGUGAAAUUCCGUCGGAAUCCGGGAGGACCAUCUCCCAAGGCUAAAUACUCCCUAGUGACCGAUAGUGAACCAGUACCGUGAGGGAAAGGUGAAAAGCACCCCGGAAGGGGAGUGAAACAGUUCCUGAAACCGUGUGCCUACAAGUAGUUAGAGCCCGUUAAUGGGUGAUAGCGUGCCUUUUGUAGAAUGAACCGGCGAGUUACGAUUUGUUGCAAGGUUAAGCGGAAAAAGCGGAGCCGUAGCGAAAGCGAGUCUGAAUAGGGCGCAUAAGUAACAGGUCGUAGACCCGAAACCAGGUGAUCUACCCAUGUCCAGGAUGAAGGUAAGGUAAUACUUACUGGAGGUCCGAACCCACGCACGUUGAAAAGU